rnacentral:rRNA from 1 species
AAUCAACGCUGGUAGCGUGCCUCAGACAUGCAAGUCGAACGAUUAAGACUUCCUUCGGGAAGUGCAUAAAGUGGCGCACGGGUGAGUAACACGUAAGUAAUCUACCCUCGAGUGGGGAAUAACGUUCGGAAACGAACGCUAAUACCGCAUAACGCAGCGGCCCCGCAAGGUGACAGUUGUUAAAGGAGCAAUCCGCUUGGGGAGGAGCUUGCGGCAGAUUAGCUAGUUGGUAAGGUAAUGGCUUACCAAGGCUACGAUCUGUAUCCGGUCUAAGGGGACGGUCGGACACACUGACACUGAAUAACGGGUCAGACUCCUACGGGAGGCAGCAGUCGGGAAUUUUGGGCAAUGGGCGAAAGCCUGACCCAGCAACGCCGCGUGAAGGAUGAAGUAUUUCGGUAUGUAAACUUCGAAAGAAUGGGAAGAAUAAAUGACGGUACCAUUUAUAAGCUCCGGCUAACUACGUGCCAGCCGCCGCCGUAAUAC